rnacentral:rRNA from 1 species
UACGUAGGGGGGCUAGCGUUGUCCGGAAUCAUUGGGCGUAAAGAGCGUGUAGGCGGCCCCGGUAAGUCCGCUGUGAAAGUCGGGGGCUCAACCCUCGAAUGCCGGUGGAUACUGUCGGGCUAGAGUGCGGAAGAGGCGAGUGGAAUUCCUGGUGUAGCGGUGAAAUGCGCAGAUAUCAGGAGGAACACCGAUUGCGAAGGCAGCUCGCUGGGACGUAACUGACGCUGGAGAACGCGAAAAGCGUGGGGAGCAAACAGG